rnacentral:lncRNA from 1 species
AGGUCCUGGGGGUGUUGUUCAGCUGCAGUGCACUCUUAAUUCAGGCGGACCCUGCCUGAGUUGAGUUUCUCAGCAGAUUGUCAGUCCCUGUUGGAGCAGACUGCCAUCUAGACCUGACUCCUGAGUUUAAAAUGCAAUGGCCAGAAGACAAGAAAGUAUCUGUGGAAGGCCGUGGACGUGGACGCCAGGACUACUGAUGCUGAUCAUCCUUGGCAUUCAUCAGGGGAGUGGGCAAGGUCAAGAUCCUCAUCAUGUCAGACUUGUGUCCUUUGUGCCCUGCGUAGACCUGCCUCCCAAAGUCUGAUUUAAUGUAUAGUCCAUCUUCACGCAUAUGUAACUUCCUGAAAAAAUAAAUGUAGUUGCAACUUUUGCUUA